UGUUUCAGGUGUGUGUGUGUGUUUGUGUGCACUUGUGCCCGCACACACACAUCAGAUCACAAUAUAAAAAGAACGUCUUCCUAUUGGUUGUGGUUGGAAAGGUUUAAAAACAUUGAGAUCGGAAUACACAGGACUUAAGGCAAGCACCAGCUGCAAAGGAAAGAAGGAGAAUGUAUUUGCAGUCAGUGGUAAUUCAUUCAUUCCAUAGCUAUUUAUUCAAUGUAUUAAACACCAAAUGUAUGCAUAACAACUGCCUAAAAUUAGGUGGAGACACAAGUGAAACUUUUAAGGUGAGCCCCUUCUCUCUGGGGAGUUUACAGUCUUGCUGGAAAGAGAAGUUGCAGAGAGGAAUCAGUUAAAUAACAGUCCAAGGCAGUAUGAGAUUAAGUUCUAAAGAACUAUACCAAUAAUAGUUAGUAACUUCAGAAAACUGAUGUUGGCAGUAGCAGUUGAGGAUAGUUCAGAAGAAAGGAGCUGGACUUGAAAUGCGAGGAAGAAGGUGGGAGGGAAAGGCUUUCCAGCAGGAAGAACUGCAGAAAGCUAAAGAUGCUUGAGGUACAACUAAUUAGGAGUAAUAAAAGGUGGUGUUGGGUGAGUAAGAGGAGGUGUAGUAUUAGGAGAGUUUCUGGCUAGUCACAGGAGUUUACCGGAAAUUCAGCAAUCACUGGAAUUUUCUGAACAAUGAAAUGACAGGAAGAAAUCAGAGUGUUAGUCCAUAGACAUUAUAUGUGAUAGGGUGAAUAGAGAGGAAAGGUCAGAUAGGAAAUUAUUGCUACAAUGAAACAUCAAGUUCAAAAGUGCUGGACUGGCAAAGAGCCAGAAGUAAAGCAUGUUAUAGGAAGUUGUGCUCUGGUGACCGACAAGGAAACCUGAAACUUAAGCCAUUUCAAGUGAGGUGACAGACCUUCCAAGAGAAUAACAGUAUUACACAACAGCCACUGAAUUAAUGAUUAAAGAAAAAUGAUCAGAAAUCCGUCUGUAGAUAGUCUUGUUUUGGCUCCUGCUAUGGUUGCUUUUACUGAACUGCAGUUUAAGAUCAUAUGAACAGCCUAAGCCUAGAGACGGUAGGAGAAGCAGUCUCAGGAACCCCGUGACUGCUUUUGCUGUGGAGGUGCCGCUGGGAGCACCACUCACUUAUCACACUGUGUUCUCUUGGCGAGAGCCUGCAGAAAUUCAUUAUCACAAAUGACUCUGCUUCUCUUGAGCAACUAGUUUGUUUUAUAAGCUUCUGAGCAUUUUGAAUUAUGUAAUUAAAUGUGCUUCCUUCUGUUGUUGUUGUGUUACUUUAAAAAUUCAGAGGCUUAUUUAUGGCAAGUGCCCAGACUCUACAGUGUACAUUUUGUGAAUUACUCUUACCCUGACUUCUUAUUUUGCCUACUUUUAGUUUCCUUUUGGCUCAUUACUCCAUCUCCUUUAUAUCUUAUUAUACUUUGUGUAUUUUGUUAAGCCAUCUUCAAUCUUUUCUGAAUAGAAGGGAUAAAGGAAAAUAUAAGACAAUCAUUCAUUUUAUUUCAUAAAGAUUAGUUUUAAGGUAACAAUGAGCCCCAAAUAAUCUAAUCUGAAGAUUAUGUGAUUUCCUUUACUGCCACCACAAUUACAUAUGUUUUUCACUACUUUACAAUGAGUGUAGAUGUUAAUUUGUAUGAGUAGGAGAUUAACUGGAAGGAAACAAAACAAUGAGUAAAGGCUGAAGCCAGGUUAGGCAGUAUGUGAAAGGAGGAGAAAAAAAUGUGAGCAAGAAGAAAACAUGCUGAGUCAAAGAGAACAAUGUUCGUUAAGGUUGCAAGAAGUAGAAUGGGUUGGAGGUUAAGUAUUGAGAAAUACUAAUUCAAAGAGAUUCCUGUAUGGGAAACAGGAAGAAAGUGACUGCUUGUUUGAGGGGUUUUUGGUAACAGCUUUCCACUAAAGAAUUGUCUGGGAGAUUCACAGUUCUAACAGCAAGGGGAUAUCAGAGAGCAGGUGAGGUUAGAGUGGGGCAGAAUCCUGGAUAAUCCUGGAUAACAGGUAUAAAGCCUGUUGCUGCCUUAGUGCUCAGGGAGGCUGAGAAGAAGGGCUGUGGGAUGGACUGAAGACAGUGGCUGGUUGGUUUGGGGUCAGGGGAGAUAGGAUGCUGGGGCAGAAACAGAAUUCAACCAGGAGGUGAAGCCAUACUUCUCUGGGAGUCCGGUGAGAGGACAGCUGAGAUCUGGCAGUGACCCUACAAAAACCCAGAGUAGGAAAUCCUCUAGUAACCUAGGGCCUGGCACAUAGUAUGUGUAAAGAAAUUUUUUUGUUACAUAAAUAAAGCUGUACCAAACUGAA